rnacentral:rRNA from 1 species
GACAGAGGGUGCGAACGUUGCUCGGAAUUACUGGGCGUAAAGCGCGCGUAGGCGGCCGUGUACAUCGGGCGUGAAAGCCCGGGGCUCAACCCCGGAAGGGCACCCGAGAUGGCGCGGCUGGAGGCUCGGAGAGGCGGGCGGAAUUCCCGGUGUAGAGGUGAAAUUCGUAGAUAUCGGGAGGAACACCAGUGGCGAAGGCGGCCCGCUGGACGAGUACUGACGCUGAGGCGCGAAAGCGUGGGGAGCAAACAGG